rnacentral:tRNA from 1 species
CGCAGCCCUCACCACAACACAUGGCAGAGCACCUGACUGUUAAUCAGGGUGUCCUCGGUUCAAGUCCGAGAGGGGCAGCCA